GAAGUAAAAGUCGUAACAAGGUUUCCGUAGGUGAACCUGCGGAAGGAUCAUUACCGAGAGAGGGGCUCCGCGCCCCCGGGGGCUUCGGCCCUCGACUCUUCCCCCUCUGUGUACCCUACCUUUGUUGCUUUGGCGGGCCCCGGGGCUUGCCCCCGCGCCGGCUGCGCCCGGUGAGCGCCCGCCAGAGUCCCAUUACAUUCCGAUUAUCCGUGCCGUCCGAGUACCAAACACAAUAGUAAAAACUUUCAACAACGGAUCUCUUGGUUCCAGCAUCGAUGAAGAACGCAGCGAAAUGCGAUAACUAAUGUGAAUUGCAGAAUUCAGUGAAUCAUCGAGUCUUUGAACGCACAUUGCGCCCCUCGGUAUUCCGGGGGGCAUGCCUGUUCGAGCGUCRUUACACCCCUCAAGCGUAGCUUGGUAUUGGGUCCUCGCCCCCGCGGCGUGCCCGAAAAGCAGUGGCGGUCCGGUGCGGCUUUAAGCGUAGUAAUUUUCAUCCCGCUUUGAAAGUCCGCCCCGAGGCUGGCCAGACAACAACACCAUUCUUUCACGAUUGACCUCGGAUCA
rnacentral:rRNA from 1 species